UCUUACUGGUGCAAUGUACAAUUAAUGAAGAUUAGCCACCAGGCUGCUCCAAUUUAGCCAUGAAACCUCCCACACUAAAAUGACAGGUGUUUCAGUUUCAUUGUCAAAUAUUAGUCAGUAUGUUCACAUACAUUUAUCUGCUUCAGACAGUGCUUUUCUGUUGUCAGUACAUCUCUUCAGGAACUAGACACUCUGCAACCAAACAAACCUGAGUACAUUGAUUUUAGAAGGAAUGUCCACAAACAUUUGGACAUAUAGUGUAGCUAGUAGCUAAAAAAGCACCGUACUAACACUCAUAUCUCUGCCAAAAGGCCUAGCAGUGAACUGAUGCUGAUAAUCUACAUUUCAAGGAAGAAUGGGCCGAAAACAUGCCGUUAUAACGCAAGAGCAGGUACUAAUGGGUGCCCCAUGGGUGCAAUAAUAGCCCACUGAAUAACUCCCACCAUGUCUUUACCACACUCCGCUCCAGCUGUCUCUUUAGGAAGGACACUUUAUGGUUUAUUAGUGCUAUUAUGUUCCCUGUGUGAGGCUAUAUCAGAGAAAAAUUACUGCUAGGGUUAGAGCUAUGGACACAGAGAGGGUUAUAAUUACAUUAAAACGUGCGGGUUUACUGUAGGGUCAAGUAAAUUUACAGGGAAUUUAAUAUACACAGUUGCACCCAGAAGGAAGUGCCGGAUUGCAAUGCUUUUCGAAAGGAAAAUAAAUGUAAAAAUGUAGACUCUUAAAGGAAACAUUCUGGUCACAUUUGUUGAGCUACAAGUACAGAAGUAGUGUGUAACACCUCAUCUUGGCAUCUCAGAGUUGUAGAGGUUCUUAAUGGUGUCCUACGAUAAUUUAUUCCAUGUAGGGUCAAGUGAAUUUACAGGGAAUUUAAUAUACAUUCAUCGUAAAGUUGCGAUAACAGUUGCACCCAGAAGGAAGUGCUGGAUUGCAAUGCUGUUCAAAAGGAAAAAAAAAAUCAAAAGCAACAAUAAAUGAUAAAAAUAUAGACUCAUAAGGUCUUGUGGAAAAUUCUGGUCAAAUUUGUUGAGCUACAUAUACAGAAACAGUGUGGUAACACCUCUGUAUUACAACAUGUCAGUCAUCUUGGUAUCUCAGAGUUGUAGAGGUUCUUAAUGGUGUCCUACGAUACUCUAUCCUAUGCUGUAUGAAUAUUUUUACAGAGUUCUUGUAGAUUUUCAAUCAGGAACCACAGUGGGCCCUAUCUUACACCAUGCAUGAGGUGCGUUUAUUGCUAUAUUGGCAACAGAAAACAUAGGUGUUCCACAGACUGAUUAGAACCCUGACAACAGUCAACAGUCAGACGUUCAUUGCUAUCUUGGCAAUGCAGGUGCACUAUGUGCUCUCAGUGUGUGUACACCUCAGCUGCGCUGUUAAGAUAGCAAUCCACCACAGUCAGAGCUCACCUGGUUCUUUAAGGGAAUGGCAUGUAACACCUAAAACACAGCCAUGAUUAAUCAGUACAACUAAAGAAUUAGUACAAACUGUACUUUGCCAGUCGUUACGAUAGCAAAGACACAAUGACGCCCCAAAAUCAAGCUAUUUGAUUGAAGGGUAAGCUAUAGACUGUUUACUGGUUACAGGACCUUUUUAACGUAGCGGUACGCUUUCAAAGUGCCUGUACUUAAGGCCAAAGAUGAUUUGGCUUUGUAGGAAAUUGAACCCUACACCAUGACACUUGUCCUUCUGGACGUGUGACACAGAUUCAUUGGUAAACUUCCUUUUGAAUGGCUUUGCAAUCUGACAUUUUCUUGAUGGUAAGUGUAUUUAAAAGUAAAAAUAUGCUAACAUAAUAAAAUAUAUUGCUCCAAAAGUGGCUAUAAUAGAAACACCAAUGGACAAAGCCAUUGGUCAAGACCAAUUUUAAAGUGGACCAUAAACAUUUAAACAGCUCAAAUCCACCAAAAUGUCUCAAAGUGGGUAUUUAUUUUUUUUAUCUAGCAGAAAAACAAACAAUGAACUAAAUGCUUUCAGGGUCCAAAAGUCGAACGUUCAUGGCUGACCUGGUCACUCACCCAGAACCUCACUCAGCAUUAUUUCACCUACUGAAGGAAAAGCUUACGGAAGAUGCCUGUAAAAACAGACAGGAACUAAACCUGGCAGUAUUACAGGCUUGGCAGAUUUUCACCAGGGAAAUCCUCAGCAUCUGUUGGUGUCUGGACUCUCAGAUUUCAUACAGUCAUUGAUUUUAGUGUUAUACAUUCAAUUCAAUUCCAGUUAAAUCAUUGUAGACGCAACGUUCUGAAUUAAAGCUGACUUUAAACCCAUAAUCAUGUCACUUCAAUCCAAUAUCAGUGAGCACAGAGCCAAAACAAUGCCUGUCUGAUCACUUGUGGGCUGUACUAUGUGUUAAUGUAUUCUGUACAAUUUGUAUAUUAUAAAUAUGAUUUAUAUUUGAUUUGCCUUUUGAGUACUCCUGACAUAAAUAUUCUAACUAUGCUUAUCUAA